GCCUGGGUGGCUCAGUCGGUUAAGCGUCUGACUUCGGCUCAGGUCAUGAUCUCCCAGUAUGUGAGUUCGAGCCCCACAUCGGGCU
rnacentral:tRNA from 1 species